UACGUAGGCAGCAAGCGUUGUUCGGAAUUACUGGGCGUAAAGAGUGUGUAGGCGGUGCUCUAAGUUCGGUGUGAAAUCUCCCGGCUUAACUGGGAGGGUGCGCCGGAAACUGGAGUGCUUGAGCGCGGGAGAGGAAAGCGGAAUUCCUGGUGUAGCGGUGAAAUGCGUAGAUAUCAGGAGGAACACCUGUGGUGUGGACGGCUUUCUGGACCGUAGCUGACGCUGAGACACGAAAGCGUGGGUAGCAAACAGG
rnacentral:rRNA from 1 species